AAAUAAAUUGACAAAAUGACUAUAAAAAAUAAAAAGACUAAGCAAUCAAAUGCUACCGAAGUGUCCACAUCUAAAAGUGCAUUGAGUAGUGUUCAGAAAUCAAGCACGUCGACGUCUGUGCAGAAAUCAAGCAAUACCUUACAGAAGGUUAGCUCGGGUAAGAAGGUCCGCUACAUUGACGUUAAGGUCGAAGAGGACGACCCGCUUAUGAUUACUGAUAUCACCGAUCAUGCAUCUACGAGCGGUUCUAUUAUAUCAGAACACUACAACAGCCACCCGCACUACAUAAUAACGGAGGCACCAUCGAUUUCCGACUUAUCGCAAGUAAGAUCUCAUGAACAUAAUGUAAGCGACAUGGCGCAAGUGAACACAGGUGAGUUUGUUUCGACUUCUGAGUUACAAGAGUCCUCUACAUCUCACCAACAAAGCUCUAGAAGUGAAAUUCAUCAAACUUCAUCAUCUGUGCAACGCUCUGGUUCUAGUCACAGCCAGACAUUUGAUUCUACUGUUGACAACCAAACGCUUAAUACCGCAUUUAUAGACAACUCCUCACAUAAUGUUACAAGAUCUAGUAACAUCAGUAACAACAGUUUCUUGUCUAAAUCCCAAGGAGCAAGUGCUACAGAAUCUUUUAUUGAAUCAGAAAGAACGAAUCUGAUGAAUACUCAAGGAAGAAGACAAUUUCAUUCCAAUCGUGACAAUCUUGCAAAUAAAAUUACUUCGUCCUCUUUUGAUUCAAAAAAUAUGAAUAUUCGCGAGAAUGAACGUUAUAAUUCGCCUGACUCUCGAAGGGCACAGACUGUUAAGUCUGACAGUUCAAAUUUUUAUGGUGGUCAAGGUACUCUUGAUAAGAAUGUUAAGUCGACAGAGUUUAGCACCACGUCUCAUUCUAGUGAGACUAAAAGUAGUAAUGUGACAAAGUCGUCAUCGUCAUCCUAUGUUGUUGAAAUUGUUGAUGGAAAAGAACGGAUAGUCGACAGUUCUAAAAGAGAGUGGGGUGAUGCCAAGAACACGCAACAAAAGAGGAUUACGCUAGUAUAAGCGGUACUAACAUCAAGCCGGAGAGUGCAUAUAGUGUUCAAAAUUAUGAUAUGAAAUCAAAGUAUGAUACUGGAAAACCUGGAAUAAAACCAACGAGUGAAAAGACCGUUAAAGAAAAUUCUAAAUUUGUUAAGGAUGGAACUCAGAUCACGAGUCAUGAGAGCCUUAUUUCUCAUAAAGAUAAUGCAAUACAACAGCAGCAUAGCUCAACUACUCACGAGGAAUUAACUGCUAGGGAUAAUAUUCAGUCAGAUAGCGUGGAUAGAAGACACAUUUCUUUCCGUGACAACUCUCACUCCGAUAUAUCCAACCAACAUCAACAAAUUAUUUCAAAUGAAAAUCUACAGACUGAUACUAUUGACAAGAGUCAUACUGUUUCAGAGAGUCGAGAAAUUAAUACUCAUAACAGUGAAAAUACCGUUAACACUAGACGUGAUAUGAAUAAGACAGAUUCAUCAAAUUUCUAUGGAUAUGACUCCACAAUACAAAAUCAAUUGAAAAAAGUAGGUGAUAUUCUACAAAUAAGAGAUACGGAAAACCUGAACUAUUCCACUAAAAUAUUAAAAAGUAAUACGAGCAGUGCACACCAAGAAUCAACAUCAUCCUAUGUCUUCGAGGUUGUGGAUGGGAAGCAAAGAAUUGUUGAUAGCGCUCACAGAGAAUGGGUGGAUAGUAAAGAUCAUUCAACAUGAAAAGAGCCACUACAUAAGUGGAACAAACAUUAAACCAGAGCACGAAUAUACCCGACACGUUCUUGACAAAGAAUCAUUUUAUGACACUGGAAAGGAUGGCGUUCCUAAAAGUGGUUCAUAUGUAACAGAAGAAUCUGCUUUAUACAAAAAUGGAAAGGAGAUAGCGUCAACAAGUAACCAUACGGUGGUGAUUUUACAAGGAAACCUGCCAUAACAGAGCAUACUACCGACGGGGUCGAUGUCUAUGACCAACAAAUACAACAACAACAAAAGACAACAACAACAAAAGAACAAAAUCUGCAGUCUAAUACAAAUAUAUCUAAAUCAACAGAUACUCAAACACAUAUUCAGGAUUCUGAAACCGUAAAGCAAAGCACCGAUUUAUAACGAAAGAAAAACAAAAUCUUACGAAAGAAACAACAUCGUCCACUUCUCAAUCUAAAGACACUCUAACAACGUAUGAAAGGAGCACCGGUACUUGGAAUGGUAAAUUAUUUAUGAAAAUGAAGAUGACAGACCGAAGCGCCCGAAACAAAUGUCGCCUUUUGGGAAACCUGAGCAACCAAGGCAUCAUUUAAAGAGGCAAGAUACGGAAGAAAAUAUCAUAUUAUCAUCAAAGGACAUUAAAGAUUUCACUUCCAUAAGUGACCUUAGAAAAUUAUUGAAACUUCACAGUCGAAUAAAGACGUCAAAGUAAGCAAUAAGAAUAUUGUUAUCAGGAGAAAUAUUGAUGACAAAGUUUUAAAGGAAAUUAUUGAAACUGUUAAGAAAUAUCCCUUCAAACGGAUAGAUAAAGUUACUUUCGGUACUAAAAUUAACGAAGAUGUUAAAGAUUUAUACGAAGGCAUCGACACGGAAGAAACAACUAUUAUGCACACCACAACAGAGGGUGCAUUAAAGAAGUCAUUCGACAUUGAGAAAACCAGGAGCCAGAUUGAAGUGACGCGAUACAUAACUGAAAAUGGUGUCACCAGAAAAGAAACAACCUAUGAAGAUGCAAAAGAAGAUGAGAAGAUUAAGACAGAUGUUUUUGUCGACAAUAGUGCGUUAGACAUCAAAAAUUUGAAGGAUGUCCGCACUACGAAAGAUAUACGCGAAUACGACGUGUUGACCGAGCUAUAACGGACACUACGAGGGAGGACACCGUCGUCAGCACCGUCUACGAUGAACAUAUCCUAGACGACAGAAAAACAGUGCGAGAUGACAGGACCAUCAUCGAAGAGACUGUUCGUCGGAUGAGACCAGGCCAAAACAAGGUGGCCCCAAAAAACCUGAGAAAAUCAUAGAAAAGGAACAGUGCAUCUGUGAAAUCUGCACUUGUGGGCGUCACCGCUGCCCACACAACGAUGUCCCGGAGCCAUUGUUCGAUGUGGAGAAGCACACUACGAGCGUUGUCUCCGCAUACCAACAAGACUACGACGAAAAGUACGUAAAUCGUACAAGCGCAGUCUAUCAUGAAGAUCAUUUGAGACUUGAAGGGGAAUUUAUAGAACCUGAGCGACCGCACUGGCAGCCUGUCGAACGUCCCAAAGCCAAGAAACCAGAAGAUAAUCUGAGGCCUGAAGGUGAUUUCGAAAAAGACGUCCAGAAGAAUGGCGUCCAGGUGAAAGAGCUCCUAUUAAAAAACCAGAAGAUAAUUUAAAACCGGAGGGUGAUUUUGCAAAGCGAAAACCCGAGGAAUGGCGUCCGGGGGAUAGAGCGCCUGUUCGCCGACCUGAGGAUAACUUGAAACCUGAAGGGGACUUUGAAGACAGAAAACCACAGGAAUGGCAACCAGGAGACAGGGCUCCCGUUAAAAGACCACAGGAUAACCUCAAGCCAGAAGGUGAAUUUGAACAGAGGCGGCCUGAUGAAUGGAGACCGGGUGAUCGUGCUCCAACUCGUCGCCCUCAAGAUAAUCUAAGACCGGAAGGUGAAUUUACCACUCCUGAAAAAGACAGCUGGCGUCCCGCAGAUCGACAGAUACCUAAAAAACCAGAAGAUAACUUACGACCUGAAGGAGAAUUUGAAAGACCCAAACCGGAGGAAUGGCGUCCAGGAGACAGAGCGCCUGUUCGCCGACCUGAGGAUAAUUUGAAACCUGAAGGGGACUUUGAAGACAGAAACCACAAGAAUGGCAACCAGGAGACAGGGCUCCUGUUAAAAGACCACAGGAUAACCUCAAACCGGAAGGUGAAUUUGAACAGAGGCGACCUGAUGAAUGGAGACCGGGUGAUCGUGCUCCAACUCGUCGCCCUCAAGAUAAUCUAAGACCGGAAGGUGAAUUUACCACUCCUGAAAAAGACAGCUGGCGUCCCGCAGAUCGACAGAUACCUAAAAAACCAGAAGAUAACUUAAGACCUGAAGGAGAAUUUGAAAGACCAAACCAGAAGAAUGGCGUCCUGGUGAUAGAGCACCUGUUCGUCGACCUGAGGAUAACUUAAAACCAGAAGGUGAUUUUGAGCGUCGAAAGCCGGAAGAAUGGCAACCUGGAGAUAGAGCUCCAGUACGGCGGCCACAGGAUAACUUAAAACCUGAAGGAGAUUUUACAACUCCAGAGAAAACUUCUUGGAAACCUUCUGAACGUCAAAAACCGAAGAAACCUGAAGACAAUUUACGACCUGAAGGAGAUUUUGAACAAAGAAAACCAGAUGAGUGGCAGCCUGCUGAUCGUCCUGUACAGAGAAAACCUAAGGAUAACCUAAAACCUGAAGGUGAAUUUGAAACGCCGGAAAAAGAGCGAUGGAGGCCUGCCGAAAGACCCCAACAAAUGAAGCCUCAGGACAACUUACGUCCUGAAGGUGAUUUUGAACAAAGAAAACCAGAUGAAUGGCAACCAGCCGACCGUCCAGUUCAAAAGAAACCAAAAGACAACCUUAAACCGGAGGGUGAAUUUGAAACUCCAGAAAAGGAGCGUUGGCGUCCUGCUGAACGACCUCAACAGAAGAAACCUGAAGACAAUUUACGACCUGAAGGAGAUUUUGAACAAAGAAAACCAGAUGAGUGGCAGCCUGCUGAUCGUCCUGUACAGAGAAAACCUAAGGAUAACCUAAAACCUGAAGGUGAUUUUGAACAAAGAAAACCAGAUGAAUGGCAACCAGCCGACCGCCCAGUUCAAAAGAAACCAAAAGACAAUCUCAAACCAGAAGGUGAAUUUGAAACUCCAGAAAAGGAACGUUGGCGUCCUGCUGAACGACCGCAGCAGAAGAAACCUGAAGACAAUCUACGUCCUGAAGGUGAUUUUGAACAAAGAAAACCAGAUGAAUGGCAUCCAGCCGACCGCCCAGUUCAAAAGAAACCAAAAGACAAUCUUAAACCAGAAGGUGAAUUUGAAACUCCAGAAAAGGAGCGUUGGCGUCCUGCUGAACGACCGCAACAGAAGAAACCGAAAGACAAUCUACGUCCUGAAGGAGAUUUUGAACAAAGAAAACCAGAUGAGUGGCAGCCUGCUGAUCGUCCCGUUCAGAGAAAACCAAAAGACAACCUUAAACCGGAAGGCGAAUUCGAAACUCCAGAAAAAGAGCGAUGGCGUCCUGCCGAAAGACCCCAACAAAAGAAGCCUCAGGAUAACUUACGUCCUGAAGGAGAUUUUGAACAAAGAAAACCAGAUGAUUGGCAACCAGCAGAGCGUCCUGUUCAAAAGAAACCAAAAGAUAAUCUUAAACCGGAAGGUGAAUUUGAAACCCCUGAAAAGGAGCGUUGGCGUCCUGCAGAACGACCGCAACAGAAGAAACCUGAAGACAAUCUACGUCCUGAAGGUGAUUUUGAACAAAGAAAACCAGAUGAGUGGCGUCCUGCUGAUCGUCCUGUACAAAGAAACCAAAAGAUAAUCUUAAACCGGAAGGUGAAUUCGAAACUCCAGAAAAAGACAGAUGGCGCCCUGCAGAACGUCACAACCCAAAAAACCUCAAACCCAGAAAAGGAGCGUUGGCGUCCUGCAGAACGACCGCAACAGAAGAAACCUGAAGACAAUCUACGUCCUGAAGGUGAUUUUGAACAAAGAAAACCAGAUGAGUGGCGUCCUGCUGAACGACCUCAACAGAAGAAACCUAAGGACAAUUUACGACCUGAAGGAGAUUUUGAACAACGGAAACCAGAUGAAUGGCACCCAGCCGACCGUCCCGUGCAAAAGAAACCAAAAGAUAAUCUUAAACCGGAAGGUGAUUUUGAAACUCCAGAAAAAGAUCGUUGGCGUCCUGCUGAACGACCUCAACAGAAGAAACCUAAGGACAAUUUACGACCUGAAGGAGAUUUCGAACAACGGAAACCAGAUGAAUGGCACCCUGCCGACCGUCCCGUGCAAAAGAAACCAAAAGAUAAUCUAAAGCCUGAAGGGAAAUUUGAAAAACCGAAACAACCUGAAUGGCAACCCGCUGAACGGCCAAAGGCGAAAAAGCCAGAAGAUAACCUAAAACCAGAGGGAGAUUUCAAUACUCCCAAAAGAGACAAAUGGCAACCAGCUGAAAGGCCUGAAGUAAAGAAACCUAAGGAUAACUUAAAACCUGAGGGUGAAUUUGAAAAACCAAAACCUGAAGAAUGGCAGCCAGCUGAGAAACAAACCCCUAAAAAACCACAAGAUAAUCUAAAGCCAGAAGGUAAUAUGGAAAUUACUCGUCGUACUGAUUAUGUGGUUACAAAAGGUGAUCGCGCUGAUAUCGUAAAACAUGAGGAUCACUUGAAAAUGGAAGGUGUUAUUGAUACACGUCGUUCAAGAGAUGAUUACAAACGUAUUGAAAGAACAGAGAAAGUAGUUAUACAGAAGCAUGAAGAUAAUUUAAGGACUGAAGGUAAAUUUAUUGAUCUUCAGACUCGUGACGAUUAUAGAGCUACAAAGGGCGAGAGGGCGCCAGUAGUCAAACCUCAAGAUAAUCUUAAGACUGACGGUAAAUUUUAUACACCGGAAGUAGUUCCAUCUCAACCUGCUGAGAAACGCAAGCCUUUUAAACAUGUCGAUAAUAUUACUCUUGAAAGAGAGACGGACACACGGUUUAAACAAAACGUUGAUCGAGUGGAUAUUAUCCGAAGAGAAGAUAAUCUUAAAAUAGAAGGCGAAUUUAUAGAUAUGAAGCAACGAAAUGAUUAUAGCUCAGUUAAAGGAGACAGAACUGCAAUAGUUAAGCAUGAGGACAAUCUCAAAAUGGAAGGGACAAUGGAAAAUACACGUUCUUCAGACACCUACAGGGUUGUAAAGGGUCAAAGAGUAAAAUUGACAAGAAGAGAGGAUAAUCUUAAAAUUGAAGGUGUUUUCGAAGAUCAUGUUAGAAGAAAUGAUUUUAAUAAAACGACCAAGAAUGUAAAGUCUUCUAUAACAUAUGAUACUAGUGAUCAAAAAACUGUUAACGACAGGGUUCAAGGUUCUGUAUAUGACACUCGUUUACCGAAAGAACAAUAUGAAACUUCGCCAAUAAACAAGAUACCAUCUAAUAAAGAUACAACAUAUCUUAUUAACGAAAACGUUGAUUCAGGAUCUACAACUAAAGUCGUGCGGUACUAUGAAAGUGACAAUACACAUCAUGUAACAUCUUCUGACUCUUCUAAAUCUCAACGCACUGAGACCAUGAAAACUACUGAUAUUAAAAGACACAAAGAGGUCCUUAUGAUAAGGAAAAGCCAAAAGACGUCUAUGAUUCAGGUGAUUUUGUACCUGAGAAGGUUUAUCCAGAAGGUAGUGUCAAGCCAAAGGACGAAUUGGGCCAUCUGAAAAGACCGCAAUUGCAAACAAAUGAAAUAUCAAGCCCUAUACAGCCAAGGGAAAGUAAACGUCCUGAUGAUGAGACUGAUUCGUCAAAAAUGUCACGAGGUGAAAUUCACCGCCCUACGGGUUCACAAUGGCAACCGGGCGAUAGAAGCAGUCCGAUUAGACCAAAAGAUAGUUCUCCAAUUGAAGACGGUAAAGACACUCCAAGAAAAUCUGAUAGUGAAACAGAUUUUCCACAAAGACGAACCCAAUGGCAGCCAGGCGACAGAGCAAGCCCCUUCCGACCAAAGGAUAAUUUACAUAUUCCAGAUAUUAAAGGAAGUUCAAGAAGACCCAAUGGUGAGUCCGAUCAUCCUCAGAGAAGUCAAUGGCAACCUAGUGACAGAGCGAGUCCUAUUCGACCACAAGAUAAUUUGCAUGUUCGAGAUAGCAAAGACAUCUUAACAAGGCCGGAAGAUGGGUCAGAUUAUCCUCAAAACUCCCAAUGGCAGCCUGGCCAAAGAGCUACUCCAAUUCGGCCAAAAGAUAAUUUACAUACUCCAGACAAUAAAGACGUUACAAGAAAGUUUGAAGACCGAUCAGAUCAUCCUCAAAGACCUCAAUGGCAACCUGGUGAAAGAGCAAGUCCUAUUCGACCAAAAGACAAUUUACACACUCAAGACAAUAAAGAAUCACCGAAGAGACCCGAAUACGAAACAGAUUUAAGUAAACCAGAAAAAACAAGAGGAAUUUCUGGACCAGGUCAAGUAAGGCACAUUUCUGAUAUGAGUAAAUACGAUUCCAGGACUACUACUUCUACUGAUGAUAUCCAUAAGAUUGAUAGUAGCAAUCAGACUUUACAUACAUCAAAAGUAAGCAUGAGUGAUGUACGUCAAGAGAGCAAUGUGAAGACGACUCAUCGGAAAUAUCUUCUAAACAUACUAAUAUUCGUAGUUCUAAUGUAGAACAUUUUGAUCAAUCUAAAACCGGAACACAAACACAACAUUUCAUAACAAACAGGGAUAAGAAUGAAAGUGGUAGAUCAACUGAUGUUUUAAAACAAACGGAUAAUUUAUCACACCAAGACGUUAGCAGUCGUGAUCAUACUAAUCGUAUAAUUUCGAAGAAUACUACAGAACGCAACAUUAUAAAACAAGAUGUAAAACAAAGCAAAACUAUGUCAUCGGUAACCAAAACAAUGAAACAAGUGACGGAAAAGAAAUUGAUUGGAGGUAAAUGGGUAAAUGUAACAAGAAAUGUAGAAGUUUCUAACACCAGUCUCGGCGACACACAUUCAAAUAGAAAUGGUCACAUUGUUAGUUCCUCUACACCAAAUAAGCAGACAAACUCUAUGGAAAAAAUAGUUACCUCCGACAGCAGAAAUAACUUACAAAAUCAAACACAUUCUUCAAAUACAACGUAUAUUAUAGAAGGUAAACAUGAUGUUAAUCAUAAUGCAAACCAAUCCACACAGCGGUCUGUUUCUGAAAAGCAAUAUGUAAAUCAAAAUCUUCAAGGAAAAUCACGUAAAGCAAUCAUUUCAGAACAACAUGUUGAUUCCUCGUCAAGUCAAAAUAAACAAAUUGGACAAAAUAGUUAUGUGUCAUCUGAUGUUCGAUCCAGCGAACACAGCUCCAAGUCGGUGCAACAUGGAAGAGAAACAAUUCAUUCUAAUACAAAUAUAAAACAUGAUAACACAAAAAUAUACACCGAAGCAAAUGCUAAAAGAAACCAAUUUAAUGAAAGUCAUGACAUUUUAAACCAAAAUAUAAAUCAAACACAUUACAACACUCAAUCUGGUGGUAGUAAUGUUGAUGGAAGGUCAAGGAACGUGCUAUCCAGUCACACAGAGAAUAAUAUUUCAAGAUCAUCUUCAACUCACCAUUCUCACACAGUAAAUCGUAGCCAUUUGAGCGAUAGUGUGAAUAAAACAAGUAUGGAAUUCCAACGAGCUAUGCAUGGUGGUGGAGAAGUUUUAGUUAGCUCCAAUGAAAACACAGCACGUAUUGGUCACCACAAACGUACUUCCGACUUGGUGUCAGAUGCUUCUAGCACUAACGCGGUUCUACAUAGGAAGGGAAUAACCUCUACGACAGAAGCACAACAUUCGAUAAGUUCUACAGCUGCUGCUCAACGUAAAAGUAUAAUAAAUCUCAGUGACCGCGGUGAAUAUAUAAGCAAUUCAACCCAUAGUGCUGAUAGAAAAAGUAUUAGCUCCAUGCACCGAUCAGGUCGGGAUAACGCUGUAUCAUCACACAGCUCUGAAAAUGUCGAUGUGAGACGUCAGCAAAAGAGAGAUGGUGAAUCUACUUUGAUUAUCGAGCGUCAACCUAGAGUGGUAUCGAGAGACAAUCUGCGAGUUGGUGGUGAAUUUUAUGGUCAUUCUGAAGCCCGUUCCUACGGUAACUUUUCGAGGUCCGACCACACCGCGAGAUCUGAACGCACAGAAAGAGUAGAGCGGCAGACGAGGACUGGUACAACAUCGCAUUUCGUAUUAGGAGAUGGCAGUUCAAGCUACAAGAGAGAAUACACAACGCAUGUCCAUGGCACUUGUCCUGCCACACUGAUUGAAUCUCCCCGCACCCCGUUCAAGCAUACACGCGAUUCUCGCGAGCACAAAUUUUAUACGGCGAAAAUAACUCAGCAAAAGUCAUAAAAAGUACUAUAUAUCUGAAUAACUUUCCUAACAACAAGAAAAUAUCAUUCCUCACUUAUUAUUGCUAUAAAAAUAUAAAGAUGUAUUUAUUAAAAGUUAACAAUACUAGUCUUAAGAAUUAUAUCGUUGUGCCUCCUAAUUACAUAAUCGUUUAUGCAUAAUAUUGAUAAAAAAUGUAAUAUUCGUAACAUUUAUAUGUAUUGCUAUAUUUUUCUUUUUUUAAAACAUUGCCAUGUAAUAAAUUUUAUAUUUAAUA